rnacentral:rRNA from 1 species
AUUGGGCGUAAAGCGAGCGCAGGUGGUUUAUUAAGUCUGGUGUAAAAGGCAGUGGCUCAACCAUUGUAUGCAUUGGAAACUGGUAGACUUGAGUGCAGGAGAGGAGAGUGGAAUUCCAUGUGUAGCGGUGAAAUGCGUAGAUAUAUGGAGGAACACCGGUGGCGAAAGCGGCUCUCUGGCCUGUAACUGACACUGAGGCUG